UAAACCCCAGAGAGACUGUGAAGAUGAGUUGAAGGGCCUUGAGAUAAGGACUCUCCUGAGGUACCUGGGUGGGCCUGAUCUAACCGUGGAGACACCUGUCCCCACUUCCAUAGACCACAGGGUCAUGGUGCUGCAGGCCAGCGAGGGUCAAUGGGACAGCGGUGAGCAGAUAAUUUUAUUCUUCCGGACUGGGAGGAAAAGGCCUACCUCACGAACUACAGUGUUAAAGAUUCUCCCUUUACUUCGGUAACAAACAGAAAGAGGCCCAACCGAUGCCGAAAUCCAAAGAAAAAUAGACACUCGACACAGAAUAAGAACCAUGGCCUGGACCUACUACCUUCUUCAGACUUCCUGAGACCAACAUUACAGAUCACCGUUUGACCCUAUUCUGCUGUGACAUCAUUUCUUCAUCAAAGGACACCUGUGCUUUUGUGAUAUGUUUAUGUUCUAGUCUGCUCCUCAAAUUUUCAGGACCACAAGAUGCAUUUUGUCUGUUUACUCUGUAUGAUCCAAUGGUUGUAAGUUGAUUUGCACUAAUUAAGCCCACAAAAGGCUGAUUCAUAAACUGAGAGAACAAUGUGUUAAAUUACAGAGAAAGAUUAAACUGGGGUGAGAAGCAAGGACAUUCAU